AGCCGCAACUCUAUAAGCGACGUUCUCCCUUUGAUCUUCUUUUUCCUUAUUGGAAUAAUUCUUGCUCAAAUUUUUAUGAGCUUUGUCACCAAUCCCGAUGAUAGCGUGGUGAAAACGCUAAUACCGGCCCUUCCCGUGCUAAUGGGCCUGUUUGUUUUCAAACUAUCGAUCUUCUUCGGGGCAGUUUUCUCUACCGUGGUGUACAUGUUCAAUUAUUGUUCCAAUGCUGAAUUUCACGUACCUGCUGAGAUCAACGCUAAGGAGCAGUUCAACCUCGGGUCUGCCGUUUUCCUUUUUGCACUGGGCACGUACUUGCAUCUGAGCCACAGGAAUAUUGGAAUGUCCACCGCCAAGGUUUAAUCGAGCUAUAAAUUCAAUAAAAUAUAGUAUUUGCACCUAAAAA